CUUUAUUUCCCCUCACAGAGGUCUGGCAGUCCUGGAUUCAGCCUCCCUCCCACACAUAUCGUUUUUAUAGGAAACAGAAGGGCUUUUGGACAGGGACACGGACAAUGCAGUCUGGGGCUUACCUUUCUCCAGCCCUAGGGGCCUGAAUCUGAAGAGUGCCUGAGGCAGAAUCCCUCCAGGAACUUUAUAAGGUGUAAUCCUGCUCAACCACUUCAAAUCCUUUCCCCAAAAAUGCUGGAAAUAAAUAAAGACACAAAUAUACA